UUGAUGCUUUAAUUGGGUGACUCUUUGGAA
rnacentral:piRNA from 1 species